UGGGGAAUAUUGCGCAAUGGGGGAAACCCUGACGCAGCAACGCCGCGUGAGUGAAGAAGGCCUUCGGGUUGUAAAGCUCUUUAAUCAGGGACGAAAAACGACGGUACCUGAAGAAUAAGCUCCGGCUAACUACGUGCCAGCAGCCGCGGUAAUACGUAGGGAGCAAGCGUUAUCCGGAUUUACUGGGUGUAAAGGGCGCGCAGGCGGGACAGCAAGUUGGAAGUGAAAUCCCAGGGCUUAACUCUGGAACUGCUUUCAAAACUGCCGUUCUUGAGUGAUGGAGAGGCAGGCGGAAUUCCGUGUGUAGCGGUGAAAUGCGUAGAUAUACGGAGGAACACCAGUGGCGAAGGCGGUCUGCUGGACAUUAACUGACGCUGAGGCGCGAAAGCGUGGGGAGCAAACAGG
rnacentral:rRNA from 1 species